AUGUUUUGUUAUCAUGUAUGAAUAUGGUUUUUUCGGUUACCUACUAAAAUUACUAUGGAAAAAAGUACGUUACAAUAACACCCAACUUUGUUUAAUAAAUAAUUCAAAUGUAAAUCCAUAAAAUUAUUUUACAAUCUCGUGCAACCGGUGUUGUGAGUAUGUAAAUUUGAGAUAAACGCUGAUCUGGUAAGUGGUACACGCAGCAGCGGUCCUAUGGCAUGCGCAACCGGUUCAUCCAGAGCAACGAAAAACUCAAAUACCAUUAUUAUUUUUUUUCCUAAUAAAACCCGCUUCCACUGUACGAGGAGGUUUACCUAUUUAAUCGCAACACGCAAUUCGUUUAAAAUAUAAAUAAAUCGACUUGAUAGUU